ACCCUAAGUCAGAAUGAUUGGCCAGAGACAACCCAGAAACUUAUCCUAUUACCAUAAAACUCGAGAACUCGAGCCACGUGGCAGAACAGUUCUCCUGGGUUCCGUUUCCCCGCUGCUCUGCCCCUGGGCACCCCUUCCCAAGAAGGACUCUUGCUUUCUCAGCAUGUGCGUCUCCUCACACAAUUCAUUUCUGAAGCUGACAUCCUAACCACUUGGGGCUACUCGGUGACCAGCUCGCCCACCAGUGAACCAGAUCCAAGGGCCAUAACUGGAACCUUUUGUCCCUGAUCUCCUCCUGACGCAGACAACUGGCCAGAGUGCCCUGACCAGCUAACCUUGAGAUACUUGAGAGCUUCCCCGAGGUAUCUUAAAGAAAAAUAUUUAGGAGUCAACCCUGAAUAUUCACUGGAAGGAUUGGUUGCUGAAGCUGAAGCUCCAGUACUUUGGCCACCUGAUUCCAAGAGCCGACUCAUUGGAAAAGACUCUGAUGCUGGGAAACAUUGAAGGCGAAAGGAGAAAGGGGCAGCAGAGGAUGACAUGGUUCGAGAGCAUCACUGACUCAAUGGACGUGAAUUUGAACAGACUGGGAGAAAGUGGAAGACAGAGGAGCCUGGUGUGCUACAGUCCAUGGGGUUGCAGAGUCAGACACAACUUAGUGACUGAAAAACAACAAAUUUGGUCAACAAGCUACAACAUGCAGUGCCAGUUCAACAAAGAUGUAAAACUACAGCCGACCACGGAAAAUACCAGUCACCCUUAGAUGGACACCGCUAUAAGGACUCUGAGGCUUGAGACUAGCAAGAGGGGGAGCCCCAAUACCCCUCGCCGUCCCAGUUCAGCAGGAAGUAGCCAGAAAGACCUCGACGCCCCUAAUCCCAAAGAAUUGGGCCUCCCAUCUCUUGAGGGGUAAUGUUAGGUAGUUAGAAUAGGGAAAAGGAGUCCGGAAUGGCGGUGGCUAAAAGAUAAGGAACAGAAAAGCCCGCGAAAAUAGAACACAAGAAGGUCUGAGGACCGGAGUGAGGACCUCAGGUAAAACAAACAACACUCCUGACUGGCCCAAUUUACAUAGGACAGGCCCAGGAAAAAACAUAUACAAAGAGGAGCCAAAGCUAGCUCGCUCUCUCUCUCUCACCCGCGUGCUGGGGCGCUCAUCGCUUCGUGUCUUUGGAUCAAAGACACGUGCCCUCACGCCUCGAAGAUGGAUUUUCCUGCCAUCUUCUAAAUAAAAUAGAGCUGUAACACUGAUUUGUCUAAGAGCUAUAACACGGUGCGUUUGAGGUCUGAGAGCUGUAACACGGUCUGUCCAAGACCCAAUAGCCGUGACACGCCCAGGGGGCUUUCAUGUCCGUCACUCCAAAUCUUUGUUGUGACGAGGCAGAACCGAUGAGCAUACACUCGCCUGAUAGACCCAACUAAAGCCAAGAUGCAGAGUCAAAUUCCGCUAGACCCUGAGCCUCAGUAUAUGCUCACUGUAACAUAUCAGCAAGCUAAGUGACCAUCCACCACCACUGGCAAAGUGAAUAACCAUUGUUUCACACUGAUCUAUGAUUCUACCUGAUUUAGUGUUUCAACCCCUUUUGAUAUUUUCAACAAAACUUCCUAAAUCAAAUUCUAAUGAAGUCUUCUUGACCCCUAGCUAACUCUGGGAUGUUUCAAAGGGCCCCUGAAACAGGACAAAGAGAGAUAUUAAGCUAAUUAGGUUCAUUUGGUAGGUUAAAUUACACGGGCAAUAUUAUCAAAUGAGUAAUAUGUUGAGGUCCUUUUGAAGAAUCUAAGCUACUCCAUUUUGUUAGCAGAAAAACUCCAUUUUGUAAGGUUCCGGGAAAAGAGCCUUUGGAAAGCCCGUGACCUCACCCCACCACCCACGAGCCAAUUGGACCCCAGACCAGAAUCUCCUGACUUAACGUUCAGGAACUCGUGGCCUACUUAGGUAAUAGGGACCAAUCAAAAACCAACACACAAUCCUUUGAAAGAAAGUGACCAAUCAGACGUCCCCCUACCUAGAAAUUCUUUUUUUUCCAUGAACACUGCCUAUAUAAGCAAUGUAACACAAAACCCAGGGCUCCUCCCUAUAGCCGCUGUGUCGGUAUCCGGUGGGAGACCCAGCUUGAGCUUGGUAAUAAAAACUCUCUUGUUUUUGCAUGGGAUAUCGGCUCC